rnacentral:rRNA from 1 species
GAUGAACGCUGGCGGCGUGCCUAAUACAUGCAAGUCGAGCGAACAGACGAGGAGCUUGCUCCUCUGACGUUAGCGGCGGACGUGUGAGUAACACGUGGAUAACCUACCUAUAAGACUGGGAUAACUUCGGGAAACCGGAGCUAAUACCGGAUAAUAUAUUGAACCGCAUGGUUCAAUAGUGAAAGACGGUUUUGCUGUCACUUAUAGAUUGAUCCGCGCCGCAUUAGCUAGUUGGUAAGGUAACGGCUUACCAAGGCAACGAUGCGUAGCCGACCUGAGAGGGUGAUAGGACAAACGGGAAGUGAGAAACGGUACAGAAUACUAAGGGAGGAAGCAGUAGGGAAUAUUCGGCAAUGGGCGAAAGCAUGAAGGAGCAAAGCAGCGUGAGUGAUGAAGGUCUUCGGAUCGUAAAACUCUGUUAUUAGGGAAGAAAAAAUGUGUAAGUAACUAUGCACGUCUUGACGGUACCUAAUCAGAAAGCCACGGCUAACUACGUG